GAGUUUGAUCCUGGCUCAGAACGAACGCUGGCGGCGUGCUUAACACAUGCAAGUCGAACGUGAUUGAGAGCUUGCUCUCAUGAAAGUGGCGCACGGGUGAGUAACACGUGGAUAAUCUGCCUGGCGAUUCGGGAUAACACUUCGAAAGGGGUGCUAAUACCGGAUAAGCCCACGGACUCUUAGGGGUUUGCGGGAAAAGGGGGCCUCUGUAUAUGCUCCUGUCGCUAGAUGAGUCCGCGGCCCAUUAGCUAGUUGGUAGGGUAAUGGCCUACCAAGGCGACGAUGGGUAGCUGGUYUGAGAGGAUGAUCAGCCACACUGGAACUGAGACACGGUCCAGACUCCUACGGGAGGCAGCAGUGGGGAAUUUUGCGCAAUGGGGGAAACCCUGACGCAGCAACGCCGCGUGAGUGAUGAAGGCUUUCGGGUCGUAAAGCUCKGUCAGAGGGGAAGAAAUGAGAUUGGCUAAUAUCCAAUUUUCUUGACGGUACCCUCAAAGGAAGCACCGGCUAACUCCGUGCCAGCAGCCGCGGUAAUAC
rnacentral:rRNA from 1 species